UAAGCAUCCAUGUUGCGAAAUCCAUGUGAUACAAGAACGACUGCCUCAGGCUCGAAGAUGACAAAAAGGGUGACAUGGAUGCGAUACUGACACUUCAGCUGCAACUUGCAGCGACCUACAACGGGGUCAGCCCAACAACACCGCAUGCAAGUCGCCCACCAGCAUUUCCAGUACUGAGACUAAGCUCAUGGCCACCCUUCCCCAAAUCAUCUUCAAGCUCAUGAACAACGAAUGCUCUCCCAACAACAGAAUUUGGGCCACUCAGAGGAAUCUGCUUAUCAACAAUGGUUGCCUCAGCUACACCUUCAGCAUUGGCAACAAUGUUUCCCAGGUCACCCGCAUGA
rnacentral:misc_RNA from 1 species